GGAGGCGUAGCUCAGCAGGUUAGAGCGCCUGCUUCACACGCAGGAGGUCUCCGGUUCGAGCCCGGACGUCUCCACCA
rnacentral:tRNA from 1 species